CAUCCACUGCCAACUCCACGGCUCUGUUGUAGGAGACCCAGGAAAAUCUCUCCCAAUUGGAGUCGGCUAAAACACAAGUCCAAAUCCUUCCAGGAGAAUGUUCUGUGGAGAGAAGAGACAAAACGAGAGAAUUUCAAUCAGCACAUUACGGGUUAAAUCCCCCCUCCCACUAGGUAGGACGAGCAAGGACCAAUCAGAAGUAUAAUUGCCAGCCUGGUAAUUCGUGGGGAACAGAACUCUUGUGCUGUAUAAGGGCACAGACUUGAAGAAACAACAUGUUGUCCAGCCAUUUCAGCUUGCAGUUAUAUGAUGAAUCAGCAGUUGAAAGUUAUUUUAUCCAGUUCUGCGCCUCAAACUAUGUUCUGCUUGGGAAGGUCCCAACGGUGCCCACUGUCAUGUGAAGGAUCAGGAAAAGAAAAUCUCCAUGUUUCCUCAACUCGUAUGGUUCUGGGAGUCCCACUCCAUGCUCAGGCUGCUUCCCGACGGUUGGUCUCUAAGUGGAGACUGAAAUCACUUGGAUUCCUGUGAGAUACCGAGGGGAGAAGGAGCUACUGGAGGGGAAAGUGGCCAAUACUAUAACAUCUGGCACCGCAGUUGCUGGGAAAUAGAAAUCCAACGACUCAGUUCUUCUCAGACAUAAAGUUGUGAUUAACCAGUGUUACUGUGUAUCCCAAUGUGGGUGUUGGACUGGGACUGCUAAUUCUUAUGUAAAGAGAAGAUGAAUUGGAUGAUUUUGUUCCUAAUAAAAGUCAGCCAAGCUGCAUUGAACAUU